CUUGGUUAUCCUCAGAUAUUUUUGGGAGGUUUUGACAUCAUAUAACUUCCAAAGAUUCUUACUGUCGCCUUUUACAUCGGUCAUCUUAUCAUCGCAAAUUUGAAAACAUUACGAAUAAAAAUGCCGCACGCUACUAACGAUGAACCACGGACAAAUGGAGGAAGCACAUCUCCCACCCCUGCAACAAACUUGCAGAUGAACACUAGUUCAUCAGCUGCAUUGACAACAACCAGCCAGGCAACUUCCUCAGAUAAUGGAUUUUCUUCUGAAGCUCAGAGGCGUCAGGCUUUUUAUAAUAACUUAUCAGAUGUCGAACGGAAGGCGUUCGACGAAGGUGCUUACUGUGGGUGGUAAUGAGGGAUAUUACACCUAUUAAUACAGGAGGCCAUAAGAAAACAACAAUCAAAUGAUUAUACUGAAUGAAAGAUGUGAUCGAAACAAUGCCCGG
rnacentral:sRNA from 1 species